rnacentral:rRNA from 1 species
CCUACGGGAGGCAGCAGUGGGGAAUAUUGCGCAAUGGGCGAAAGCCUGACGCAGCGACGCCGCGUGAGGGAUGAAGGUCUUCGGAUCGUAAACCUCUGUCAGCAGGGAAGAACGGUCACUGUGCUAAUCAGCAGUGAAUUGCCGGUACCUGCAAAGGAAGCACCGGCUAACUCCGUGCCAGCAGCCGCGUUAAUACGGAGGGUGCGAGCGUGAAUCGGAAUCACUGGGCGUAAAGCGCUCGUAGGCGGUAUGUCAAGUCAAGGGUGAAAUCCCAGGGCUCAACGUGAGAACUGCAUUUGAAACUGGUAAACUGGAGUGUGUGAGAGGAUAGUGGAAUUCCAGGUGUAGGAGUGAAAUCCGUAGAGAUCUGGAGGAACACCAGUGGCGAAGGCGACCAUCUGGCACAUAACUGACGCUGAGGAGCGAAAGCGUGGGUAGCAAACAGGAUUAGAUACCCUUGUAGUC